AGGGUAAUAGUUUAAAUAAAAACAUUUGAAUUGCAAACAAAAAUUAUUUUACAAAAUUUACCUUA
rnacentral:tRNA from 1 species